UGGACGUUACUCGCAGAAUAAGCACCGGCUAACUCUGUGCCAGCAGCCGCGGUAAUACAGAGGGUGCAAGCGUUAAUCGGAUUUACUGGGCGUAAAGCGCGCGUAGGUGGCCAAUUAAGUCAAAUGUGAAAUCCCCGAGCUUAACUUGGGAAUUGCAUUCGAUACUGGUUGGCUAGAGUAUGGGAGAGGAUGGUAGAAUUCCAGGUGUAGCGGUGAAAUGCGUAGAGAUCUGGAGGAAUACCGAUGGCGAAGGCAGCCAUCUGGCCUAAUACUGACACUGAGGUGCGAAAGCAUGGGGAGCAAACAGGAUUAGAUACCCUGGUAGUCCAUGCCGUAAACGAUGUCUACUAGCCGUUGGGGCCUUUGAGGCUUUAGUGGCGCAGCUAACGCGAUAAGUAGACCGCCUGGGGAGUACGGUCGCAAGACUAAAACUCAAAUGANUUGACGGGGGCCCGCACAAGC
rnacentral:rRNA from 1 species